rnacentral:rRNA from 1 species
UUAAGCGACUAAGCGUACACGGUGGAUGCCCUGGCAGUCAGAGGCGAUGAAGGACGUGCUAAUCUGCGAUAAGCGUCGGUAAGGUGAUAUGAACCGUUAUAACCGGCGAUUUCCGAAUGGGGAAACCCAGUGUGAUUCGUCACACUAUCAUUAACUGAAUCCAUAGGUUAAUGAGGCGAACCGGGGGAACUGAAACAUCUAAGUACCCCGAGGAAAAGAAAUCAACCGAGAUUCCCCCAGUAGCGGCGAGCGAACGGGGAGCAGCCCAGAGCCUGAAUCAGUGUGUGUGUUAGUGGAAGCGUCUGGAAAGGCGCGCGAUACAGGGUGACAGCCCCGUACACAAAAAUACACAUAUUGUGAGCUCGAUGAGUAGGGCGGGACACGUGGUAUCCUGUCUGAAUAUGGGGGGCCCAUCCUCCAAGGCUAAAUACUCCUGACUGACCGAUAGUGAACCAGUACCGUGAGGGAAAGGCGAAAAGAACCCCGGCGAGGGGAGUGAAAAAGAACCUGAAACCGUGUACGUACAAGCAGUGGGAGCACGCUUAGGCGUGUGACUGCGUACCUUUUGUAUAAUGGGUCAGCGACUUAUAUUCUGUAGCAAGGUUAACCGAAUAGGGGAGCCGAAGGGAAACCGAGUCUUAACUGGGCGUUAAGUUGCAGGGUAUAGACCCGAAACCCGGUGAUCUAGCCAUGGGCAGGUUGAAGGUUGGGUAACACUAACUGGAGGACCGAACCGACUAAUGUUGAAAAAUUAGCGGAUGACUUGUGGCUGGGGGUGAAAGGCCAAUCAAACCGGGAGAUAGCUGGUUCUCCCCGAAAGCUAUUUAGGUAGCGCCUCGUGAAUUCAUCUCCGGGGGUAGAGCACUGUUUCGGCAAGGGGGUCAUCCCGACUUACCAACCCGAUGCAAACUGCGAAUACCGGAGAAUGUUAUCACGGGAGACACACGGCGGGUGCUAACGUCCGUCGUGAAGAGGGAAACAACCCAGACCGCCAGCUAAGGUCCCAAAGUCAUGGUUAAGUGGGAAACGAUGUGGGAAGGCCCAGACAGCCAGGAUGUUGGCUUAGAAGCAGCCAUCAUUUAAAGAAAGCGUAAUAGCUCACUGGUCGAGUCGGCCUGCGCGGAAGAUGUAACGGGGCUAAACCAUGCACCGAAGCUGCGGCAGCGACGCUUAUGCGUUGUUGGGUAGGGGAGCGUUCUGUAAGCCUGCGAAGGUGUGCUGUGAGGCAUGCUGGAGGUAUCAGAAGUGCGAAUGCUGACAUAAGUAACGAUAAAGCGGGUGAAAAGCCCGCUCGCCGGAAGACCAAGGGUUCCUGUCCAACGUUAAUCGGGGCAGGGUGAGUCGACCCCUAAGGCGAGGCCGAAAGGCGUAGUCGAUGGGAAACAGGUUAAUAUUCCUGUACUUGGUGUUACUGCGAAGGGGGGACGGAGAAGGCUAUGUUGGCCGGGCGACGGUUGUCCCGGUUUAAGCGUGUAGGCUGGUUUUCCAGGCAAAUCCGGAAAAUCAAGGCUGAGGCGUGAUGACGAGGCACUACGGUGCUGAAGCAACAAAUGCCCUGCUUCCAGGAAAAGCCUCUAAGCAUCAGGUAACAUCAAAUCGUACCCCAAACCGACACAGGUGGUCAGGUAGAGAAUACCAAGGCGCUUGAGAGAACUCGGGUGAAGGAACUAGGCAAAAUGGUGCCGUAACUUCGGGAGAAGGCACGCUGAUAUGUAGGUGAAGUCCCUUGCGGAUGGAGCUGAAAUCAGUCGAAGAUACCAGCUGGCUGCAACUGUUUAUUAAAAACACAGCACUGUGCAAACACGAAAGUGGACGUAUACGGUGUGACGCCUGCCCGGUGCCGGAAGGUUAAUUGAUGGGGUCAGCGCAAGCGAAGCUCUUGAUCGAAGCCCCGGUAAACGGCGGCCGUAACUAUAACGGUCCUAAGGUAGCGAAAUUCCUUGUCGGGUAAGUUCCGACCUGCACGAAUGGCGUAAUGAUGGCCAGGCUGUCUCCACCCGAGACUCAGUGAAAUUGAACUCGCUGUGAAGAUGCAGUGUACCCGCGGCAAGACGGAAAGACCCCGUGAACCUUUACUAUAGCUUGACACUGAACAUUGAGCCUUGAUGUGUAGGAUAGGUGGGAGGCUUUGAAGUGUGGACGCCAGUCUGCAUGGAGCCGGCCUUGAAAUACCACCCUUUAAUGUUUGAUGUUCUAACGUGGACCCGUGAUCCGGGUUGCGGACAGUGUCUGGUGGGUAGUUUGACUGGGGCGGUCUCCUCCUAAAGAGUAACGGAGGAGCACGAAGGUUGGCUAAUCCUGGUCGGACAUCAGGAGGUUAGUGCAAUGGCAUAAGCCAGCUUGACUGCGAGCGUGACGGCGCGAGCAGGUGCGAAAGCAGGUCAUAGUGAUCCGGUGGUUCUGAAUGGAAGGGCCAUCGCUCAACGGAUAAAAGGUACUCCGGGGAUAACAGGCUGAUACCGCCCAAGAGUUCAUAUCGACGGCGGUGUUUGGCACCUCGAUGUCGGCUCAUCACAUCCUGGGGCUGAAGUAGGUCCCAAGGGUAUGGCUGUUCGCCAUUUAAAGUGGUACGCGAGCUGGGUUUAGAACGUCGUGAGACAGUUCGGUCCCUAUCUGCCGUGGGCGCUGGAGAACUGAGGGGGGCUGCUCCUAGUACGAGAGGACCGGAGUGGACGCAUCACUGGUGUUCGGGUUGUCAUGCCAAUGGCACUGCCCGGUAGCUAAAUGCGGAAGAGAUAAGUGCUGAAAGCAUCUAAGCACGAAACUUGCCCCGAGAUGAGUUCUCCCUGACCCUUUAAGGGUCCUGAAGGAACGUUGAAGACGACGACGUUGAUAGGCCGGGUGUGUAAGCGCAGCGAUGCGUUGAGCUAACCGGUACUAAUGAACCGUGAGGCUUAACCUU